CUCGUAGGUGGCCAACUAAGUCAGACGUGAAAUCCCUCAGCUUAACUGGGGAACUGCGUCUGAUACUGGAUGGCUUGAGAUUGGGAGAGGGAUGCGGAAUUCCAGGUGUAGCGGUGAAAUGCGUAGAUAUCUGGAGGAACACCGGUGGCGAAGGCGGCAUCCUGGACCAACACUGACACUGAGGAGCGAAACGACCGAGGGGAGACGAAACGGGA
rnacentral:rRNA from 1 species